rnacentral:rRNA from 1 species
CAGCCGCCGCGGGAAUACGGAGGGAGCUAGCGUUAUUCGGAAUUACUGGGCGUAAAGCGCACGUAGGCGGCUUUGUAAGUUAGAGGUGAAAGCCUGGUGCUCAACACCAGAACUGCCUUUGAUACUGCAUCGCUUGAAUCCAGGAGAGGUGAGUGGAAUUCCGAGUGUAGAGGUGAAAUUCGUAGAUAUUCGGAAAAACACCAGUGGCGAAGGCGGCUCACUGGACUGGUAUCGACGCUGAGGUGCGAAAGCGUGGGGAGCAAACAGGAUUAGAUACCCCCGUAGUCCCUGUCUCUUAUAC